AUUGAACGCUGGCGGCAGGCCGAACACAUGCAAGUCGAACGAGUGGCGGACGGGUGAGUAAUGUCUGGGAAACUGCCUGAUGGAGGGGGAUAACUACUGGAAACGGUAGCUAAUACCGCAUACCAUCGGAGGUGCCCAGAUGGGAUUAGCUAGUAGGUGGGGUAACGGCUCAACUAGGCGAGGAUCCCUAGCUGGUCUGAGAGGAUGACCAGCGACACUGGAAAUGAGACUAGGUCCAGAAGCCUACGGGAGGCAGCAGUGGGGAAUAUUGCACAAUGGGCGAAAGCCUGAUGCAGCCAUGCCGCGUGGAGGAAGAAGGCCUUAGGGUUGUAAAGUACUUUCAGCGGGGAGGCGUUACCCGCAUAAGAAGCACCGGCUAACUCCGUGCCAGCAGCCGCGGUAAUUC
rnacentral:rRNA from 1 species